UGGGGAAUAUUGCACAAUGGGGGAAACCCUGAUGCAGCGACGCCGCGUGAGCGAAGAAGGUUUUCGAAUCGUAAAGCUCUGUCCUAUGAGAAGAUAAUGACGGUAUCAUAGGAGGAAGCCCCGGCUAAAUACGUGCCAGCAGCCGCGGUAAUACGUAUGGGGCGAGCGUUGUCCGGAAUUAUUGGGCGUAAAGGGUACGUAGGCGGUCUAUUAAGUCAGGUGUGAAAGCGUGAGGCUUAACCUCAUUAAGCACUUGAAACUGUUAGACUUGAGUGAAGGAGAGGAAGGUGGAAUUCCUAGUGUAGCGGUGAAAUGCGUAGAUAUUAGGAGGAAUACCGGUGGCGAAGGCGACUUUCUGGACUUUUACUGACGCUCAGGUACGAAAGCGUGGGGAGCAAACAGG
rnacentral:rRNA from 1 species